AAGACUAUACUUUCAGGAGUCAUUUCUAUAGUCUGUUACUAGUGAAGUUUCUUUGAACGUGUAGAGUAACCGAAACCACAAGGAGAUGCAGUGUCCCUUCCUGAGAGUGAAGCUGACUCUGGAUGUUUCUCCAGCUGCCCUUUGCAUUGAUGAUCAUUCUCCUCCUUUGGGGGAGUAGGAGAGAAGAGACACCCUUUGAGUGGUU
ensembl:snoRNA